GGGCCCGCACAAGCAGUGGAUUAUGUGGUUUAAUUCGAAGCAACGCGAAGAACCUUACCAGGUCUUGACAUCCAAUGACAACCCUAGAGAUAGGGCUUCCCUUCGGGGCAUUGAGACAGGUGGUGCAUGGUUGUCGUCAGCUCGUGUCGUGAGAUGUUGGGUUAAGUCCCGCAACGAGCGCAACCCUUACGGUUAGUUACUACGAGAAGAGGACUCUAGCCGGACUGCCGUUGACAAAACGGAGGAAGGUGGGGAUGACGUCAAAUCAUCAUGCCCUUUAUGACCUGGGCUACACACGUAAUACAAUGGCACUUAACAGAGGGAAGCGAAGCCGCGAGGUGGAGCAAACCCCAAAAAGUGUCUCAGUUCGGAUCGCAGGCUGCAACCCGCCUGCGUGAAGUCGGAAUUGCUAGUAAUCGCGGAUCAGCAUGCCG
rnacentral:rRNA from 1 species